rnacentral:rRNA from 1 species
UACGAAGAGGGCUAGCGUUGCUCGGAAUCACUGGGCGUAAAGGGCGCGUAGGCGGCCGAUUAAGUCGGGGGUGAAAGCCUGUGGCUCAACCACAGAAUUGCCUUCGAUACUGGUUGGCUUGAGACCGGAAGAGGACAGCGGAACUGCGAGUGUAGAGGUGAAAUUCGUAGAUAUUCGCAAGAACACCAGUGGCGAAGGCGGCUGUCUGGUCCGGUUCUGACGCUGAGGCGCGAAAGCGUGGGGAGCAAACAGG